rnacentral:lncRNA from 1 species
CUCUACAACGGGGUUUCAGACGGUGCAGUAACUCUCUACAACAGGGUUUCAGACGGUGCAGUAACUCUCUUACAACAGGUUUCAGACGGGGCAGUAACUCUCUACAACGGGUUCAGACGGUGCAGUACUCUCUACACGGGGUUUCAGACGGUGCAGUAACUCUCUACAACAGGGUUUCAGAUGGUGCAGUAACUCUCUACAACAGGGUUUCAGACGGUGCAGUAACUCUCUACAACGGGGUUUCAGACGGUGCAGUAACUCUCUACAACGGGGUUUCAGACGGUGCAGUAACUCUCACACAGGGUUUCAGACGGUGCAGUAACUCUCUACCACAGGGUUCAGACGGUGCAGUAACUCUCUACCACGGGGUUUCAGACGGUGCAGUAACUCUCUACCACAGGGUUUCAGAUUGCGGUAACUCUCUACCACGGGGUUUCAGACGGUGCAGUAACUCUCUACCACAGGGUUUCAGACGGUGCAGUAACCUCUACCACAGGUUUCAGACGGUGCGGUAACUCUCUACCACGGGUUUCAGACGGUGCAGUAACUCUCUACAACAGGGUCAGAUUUAACAUAGUUUUCUGGCCAGUUGGUACACCUGUAUCUCAUGCUGGAUAGUAGAAGUUGUCGUCCAGCAAAAUGACGAGUGGCGGCGGUGGUCGAUCUGAAGGUGAUGGUACGCCUGAGAAGAGCCCGCCGGUGUCCCGCAGACCCGAGAAGAGCCCGCCGGUGUCCCGCAGACCUGAGAAGAGCCCGCCGGUGUCCCGCAGACCUGAGAAAGCCCGCCGGUGUCCCGCAGACCUGAAAGAGCCCCGCGGUGUCCCGCAGACUGAGAAGCCGCCGGGUCCGCGACUGAGCGGCGUGAAGGAGACGACUCCGGGCAUCCUUGUUGAUCUGGUAGAUGAUUGGUGGUAGCUGCUCUGUGGGAUCUGUAGGAACUGUUCAACACACCGCAGCACCGCUUGUCUGUGACAUUUCCAUUAAGUCUGCUGAAAGACAUGGGGGUUGUGGCAAGUGACAUGAGGAUUAUAUUCACGACAAACCCUGUUCUAUCAUUUCCAUUCAGUCUGCUGAAAGACAUGGGGUGUGUGGCACAGUGACAUGAAUCAUUCAUUACAAACUCUGUUGCCUAUUUCAAAUAGUUAAUUC